GUAGGGAAUAUUGGACAAUGGGGGGAACCCUGAUCCAGCCAUGCCGCGUGGAGGAAGACUGCCCUCUGGGUUGUAAACUCCUUUUAUAUGGGAAGAACCGUCCUCAUUAAUGAGUGACCUGACGGUACCAUAGGAAUAAGCACCGGCUAACUCCGUGCCAGCAGCCGCGGUAAUACGGAGGGUGCAAGCGUUAUCCGGAUUCACUGGGUUUAAAGGGUGCGUAGGCGGAUAAAUAAGUCAGUGGUGAAAUCAACGGGCUCAACCUGUUAACUGCCAUUGAUACUGUGUAUCUUGAAUAUGAGAGAGGUAGGCGGAAUGUUGCAUGUAGCGGUGAAAUGCUUAGAUAUGCUACGGAACACCGAUUGCGAAGGCAGCUUACUAUUUCGUAAUUGACGCUGAGGCACGAAAGCGUGGGUAGCGAACAGGAUUAGAAACCCCAGUAGUCC
rnacentral:rRNA from 1 species